UGCAGUCGAGCGACAGACGAGGAGCUUGCUCCUCUGACGUUAGCGGCGGACGGGUGAGUAACACGUGGAUAACCUACCUAUAAGACUGGGAUAACUUCGGGAAACCGGAGCUAAUACCGGAUAAUAUAUUGAACCGCAUGGUUCAAUAGUGAAAGACGGUUUUGCUGUCACUUAUAGAUGGAUCCGCGCCGCAUUAGCUAGUUGGUAAGGUAACGGCUUACCAAGGCAACGAUGCGUAGCCGACCUGAGAGGGUGAUCGGCCACACUGGAACUGAGACACGGUCCAGACUCCUACGGGAGGCAGCAGUAGGGAAUCUUCCGCAAUGGGCGAAAGCCUGACGGAGCAACGCCGCGUGAGUGAUGAAGGUCUUCGGAUCGUAAAACUCUGUUAUUAGGGAAGAACAAAUGUGUAAGUAACUAUGCACGUCUUGACGGUACCUAAUCAGAAAGCCACGGCUAACUACGUGCCAGCAGCCGCGGUAAUACGUAGGUGGCAAGCGUUAUCCGGAAUUAUUGGGCGUAAAGCGCGCGUAGGCGGUUUUUUAAGUCUGAUGUGAAAGCCCACGGCUCAACCGUGGAGGGUCAUUGGAAACUGGAAAACUUGAGUGCAGAAGAGGAAAGUGGAAUUCCAUGUGUAGCGGUGAAAUGCGCAGAGAUAUGGAGGAACACCAGUGGCGAAGGCGACUUUCUGGUCUGUAACUGACGCUGAUGUGCGAAAGCGUGGGGAUCAAACAGGAUUAGAUACCCUGGUAGUCCACGCCGUAAACGAUGAGUGCUAAGUGUUAGGGGGUUUCCGCCCCUUAGUGCUGCAGCUAACGCAUUAAGCACUCCGCCUGGGGAGUACGACCGCAAGGUUGAAACUCAAAGGAAUUGACGGGGACCCGCACAAGCGGUGGAGCAUGUGGUUUAAUUCGAAGCAACGCGAAGAACCUUACCAAAUCUUGACAUCCUCUGACCCCUCUAGAGAUAGAGUUUUCCCCUUCGGGGGACAGAGUGACAGGUGGUGCAUGGUUGUCGUCAGCUCGUGUCGUGAGAUGUUGGGUUAAGUCCCGCAACGAGCGCAACCCUUAAGCUUAGUUGCCAUCAUUAAGUUGGGCACUCUAAGUUGACUGCCGGUGACAAACCGGAGGAAUGGGGAUGACGUCAAAUCAUCAUGCCCCUUAAGAUUUGGGCUAACACCGUGCUACAAUGGCAAUAACAAAGGGGACGGAAACCG
rnacentral:rRNA from 1 species